AACGAACGCUGGCGGCAUGCCUAACACAUGCCAGUCGAACGAGACCUUCGGGUCUAGUGGCGCACGGGUGCGUAACGCGUGGGAACCUGCCCUUAGGUUCGGAAUAACUCCCCGAAAGGGGUGCUAAUACCGGAUAGUGUCUUCGGACCAAAGAUUUAUCGCCUUUGGAUGGGCCCGCGUUGGAUUAGCUAGUUGGUAGGGUAAAAGCCUACCAAGGCGACGAUCCAUAGCUGGUCUGAGAGGAUGAUCAGCCACACUGGGACUGAGACACGGCCCAGACUCCUACGGGAGGCAGCAGUGGGGAAUAUUGGACAAUGGGCGAAAGCCUGAUCCAGCAAUGCCGCGUGAGUGAUGAAGGCCUUAGGGUUGUAAAGCUCUUUUACCCGGGAUGAUAAUGACAGUACCGGGAGAAUAAGCUCCGGCUAACUCCGUG
rnacentral:rRNA from 1 species